GAGAAGCCAUGCAGCCACUGCCUGUGACAGAUGCUGAGAACUCUAGCUGGCAUCCUCGGCGAAGGCAGAAUCUGCUGAGUGUCUCCAGUAUCAUGUCACCAGGGGCCUUUGUGACAAACAAGUUAAGAGCUACUUUGAGUCCACGGAAAUAUUCUAGUCCGACUGCUGUGGAUUCCCUGCCCGGCCCUACUAUGCUCGCUGGCCAUUCAAGGAAAGCAGAGCUGGUCAGUGUUCAGGAUGUGAGGUGACCAAGAUCCGGUGCCAGGUUGGAGAGGGAAGGGAGAGUAACUAGAGCAGAAAUCUAUGCCUAGAACCACGGAUAGACUGCAGCUGUGCAGUGUCUCACUGGAGCAGGCGUCUGUGAGGCUUGCCUUUCUACGCUGCAUCAUGGCUACGACGGGGGCCAGUUUGUAGGAAAGGAAGGGGCCGGAGACCAACAUGUCCCUCUUCACCCUCUACUGCUCCCUGAUGGUCCCCCGGGGUAAAUACUCCAGAGACAGAAGCGCGGCAUCAUUUCCCGACCCCUUGGAGGGUGGCAGGCUUCUGGGUCUGGUGUGGCCUCCUCCGCGGCAACUCCACAUGCCCCUGCCAGUUCGCUCAGCUCCUGCAAAUAUUUGCUGUGCUCUUGCUCCAGGCCUUGGGUUGAUGGUCAGUGUGGAAUGGGGGAGGGAAGUGGGCGUGAAGCUCACAGGACAUAAACACAAACCUGGACGAGUUGGCCAUGAGUCAAGUCACUGGAGGCUUGACAGAAGGGCUAUUCAUUUCCUAGGGCGCCAUCUGACAAGUGCAACCUAAAGUUCCAGCUCCGGGGCUAGAAGGAAGAAUGCCGCAAUGAGUUCACACACACAGUGAGUUCCAGGGCUAUUCUCAGCUACUGAAUGCAACCCUGUCUCAAAACCUCAAAAGGAACCUUUGAUUCGAGCACUCAGGAGGGAAGCAGAUACAGCUGGAUCUCUGUGAGUUCGAGGCUGUCUGGUCUACAAGAGCUAGUUCCAGGACAGACUUCAAACUACAGUGAAACCCUGUCUCAGAAGAAAA